AGUGAACGCUGGCGGUAGGCCUAACACAUGCAAGUCGAACGGCAGCACAGUAAGAGCUUGCUCUUACGGGUGGCGAGUGGCGGACGGGUGAGGAAUACAUCGGAAUCUACUUUUUCGUGGGGGAUAACGUAGGGAAACUUACGCUAAUACCGCAUAUGACCUACGGGUGAAAGCAGGGGAUCUUCGGACCUUGCGCGAUUGAAUGAGCCGAUGUCGGAUUAGCUAGUUGGCGGGGUAAAGGCCCACCAAGGCGACGAUCCGUAGCUGGUCUGAGAGGAUGAUCAGCCACACUGGAACUGAGACACGGUCCAGACUCCUACGGGAGGCAGCAGUGGGGAAUAUUGGACAAUGGGCGCAAGCCUGAUCCAGCCAUACCGCGUGGGUGAAGAAGGCAUUCGGGUUGUAAAGCCCUUUUGUUGGGAAAGAAAAGCAGCAGGUUAAUACCCCGCUGUUCUGACGGUACCCAAAGAAUAAGCACCGGCUAACUUCGUG
rnacentral:rRNA from 1 species